CUCACACAGUAGUAAUAUGCCCCCAGUAACACACAGUAGUAAUAUGCCCCCAGUAACACUCACACAGUAGUAAUAUGUCAGUAUGUCCCCAGUAACACUCACACAGUAGUAAUAUGCUCCCAGUAACACUCACACAGCAGCAAUAUGCCCCCGGUAACACUCACACAGUAGUAAUAUGCCCCUGGUAACACUCGCACAGUAGUAUGUCAGUAUGCCCCCAGUAACACACAGUAGCAAUAUGUCGGUAUGCCCCCAGUAACACUCACACAGCAAUAUGUCAGUAUGCCCCCAGUAACACUCACACAGUAGCAAUAUAUAAGUAUGCCCCCAGUAACACUCACACAGCAGUAAUGUCAGUAUGCCCCCAGUAACACUCACACAGUAGCAAUAUAUAAGUAUGCCCCCAGUAACACUCACACAGCAGUAAUGUCAGUAUGCCCCCAGUAACACUCACACAGUAGCAAUAUGUCAAGUUAAAGCGGCACUGUCAAUCCCCUGAAAAUUCCAACCCAGUCAAGCUUGUUAAGACCUGCAGUGGUUAUGGUGCUACGGUCAUCUGUUCCUUUUCCCAACAGCUGAGCAAGUGAUUAUAGCUGCAGCAGGGAGUAGAGGAAUAGGAUAGAUGAAUGCAGUUCCAAGAUGAGUCUUCCCAGCAAAUAGAAUAUCCCCCAAACAUGAGCCUAGACUUCAUGAAGGGUGUAACAGGAAUGAAGUUUAUUGAAAACACACGGGCUUUUAUGAGAAAUCCUCCUGCAAGAGGACCUCCCACAGCAAACAGACAACAGCCAAUCAACAUACAGAUUUACAGUAAUUUACUGCCUGGGAGAUAUUGAGAUAAGUUAAGAAAUAAACCAAUUAUCUCCAGGCAGAGAGCACACAAUUUCCCCAAAACUUAGAACACCCCUUUCCCCACAAGGUAUCCCCACAAAUUACAUAUCCCCUGAUAGCCCCGAUCUGGGAGACCAACAUAUCCAAAUUUCACCCAGAUCGGUUCAGGGGUUCUUAAAAAGUAUGGAAGUCAUAUUUUACGGACCACACAUGAGGCUCUUGCCCAAAACAGUUCCACGAAUUCAGCGUGUGGAGUCGGUCAAUUCAGAAAAAGGUAAAAAACUAACAAAGUCCCGAAUGGAUCCUCCUGGCUCAUAGGAGCGAUUGCUCCCCUUGUCCGUUCGCACAAAGCUACCGAAUGGCGCUCUCCUGGCUGUUCAGUAACUAAAGGAAGCAGGCGUUCAGUAGUUUCAGCGGUGGUUUGGGAGGUCGAGUGUCCGAUUUUAGUUCCAGACACUCGACUACCAAGUCCCACUGACUCCCCUCGUGCGAACAAAAUGGCCGACGUUUUCUAUUCCA